GAAUAUUGGGCAAUGGAGGCAACUCUGACCCAGCCAUGCCGCGUGCAGGAAGACGGUCCUCUGGAUUGUAAACUGCUUUUAUUUGGGAAGAAACCCCGGGUCGUGCAUCCGGGCUGACGGUACCAAAUGAAUAAGCACCGGCCAACUCCGUGCCAGCCGCCGCGGUAAUACGGAGGGUGCAAGCGUUAUCCGGAAUCAUUGGGUUUAAAGGGUCCGCAGGCGGACUAGUAAGUCAGUGGUGAAAUCUCUCAGCUUAACUGAGAAACUGCCAUUGAUACUGCUAGUCUUGAAUUCGGUCGAAGUGGGCGGAAUGUGUCAUGUAGCGGUGAAAUGCAUAGAUAUGACACAGAACACCGAUAGCGAAGGCAGCUCACUAGGCCUGAAUUGACGCUCAGGGACGAAAGCGUGGGGAGCAAACAGG
rnacentral:rRNA from 1 species